AUCCCUCAACGUAGUCAAAUGUAUUUUCUGCAGAUAUUAGAUGCUCCUGAUCUUGGGUAAAUGCUGCAAAAUCUGAAUACAGGACUCUAAUCCAUUUUACCUGUUCAAAAUGGAGAAUUGGGUGCUGCUUCCAACGAUAUUCUCGCCCGGGUUAUGAUGCCAAACUGACCAAGCCCUCCAAGAACACUAUGAAAUAGGAUAUUUAUCCACAACUCACCACCAGAGACAUCCACAUAUGGAGAACUUCCAGUGUAAACUUGGAUUUCAGGGCCCUUGAGUGAUUCCAUAUUGAUGACAACUCCUCUGUGGGUUUGUGCCUGGCCCUGGAGUGAGUGGCCAUGGCCUCUAGCUGCAACGGUGAGCUCUGAACGAGGACCCAUAUCCCAAAUAUGCUUAAUUGUAGUGGCUAUAUCAGAAACUGUUUUUGGAUGUAGUACUGCCAUAGGGAGGAACUGAUAUCUGUUGCCAAAAUCUCUGGCUGCAUGGUGAACUUCAUGAAAGUUGAAAUGCCCAUCGAGGGGAAGUGUAUUGAAUGAGGGAGUGUUUGGAGAACAAAGGUUCAAUUUGAUGGUUACACAGCUCACGAACAAGAUCAUGAAGCCUUUUAUGAUAAAAGUGUUCAUUUGUUUAAGGAAGUAAACUGGUGGAUACCUCAUUUUUUCUGUUAGAAGAGAUGAAGGUAGCUGAAGGUGAAGGAGUUUAAUCUUUUAGUUGUUUCUUAGUAAGGAAAGGGUAAAAGGCAAAAGAAGAGGUGUAGAAGAGCCAAGAAAAUAAAUGGUUGAGGAGGGAAUUUAAAGGGGAAAGGUUUGGGUGGCUGAGUCAACCCAUCUUCAUGUUAUGAGAAUCCGUAUGAAGACUGCCUACUUGGGUGGAAGAGUUUUAGGAUUUUCUUUUAGUUCUCUUUUUGGGGAUCUUUUGUUUAUAAGAGAAGGCAUCACACAUAUGCCAAGUUGAAUGGAAAAAGUCACAAGAAAGAAAGAUUUCACAAAUCUUUGCACUUUUUCUAACAGUUGCAACCACAAUCUCACCUUUUCCAUUCUUUAAAUUUUUCUUACUUAAUGUUAAUGAUUUCUUCCCAAUUAUGGUAUAAAAUUAAUGCCUCUGCAGCUCUGCCCGAAUUCAUAUU